ACAUAUAUAUACACAUAUAUAUAUACACACACCAUAUGUUCUUUAUCCACUCAUCUGUCAAUAGACACUUAGGUAGUUUCCAUAUCUUGACCAUUACAAUUAAUGCUGCAAUGAACGUGAGGGUGCAGAUAUCUUUCUGAGCUGGUGUUUUGUUUUGUUUUUUCAGAUAAAUACCCAGAAGUGGAACUGCUGGGUCAUAUGGUGUUUCUAUUUUUAUUUUUUUGAGGAAACUCCAUACUGUUUAAACUGUUAUGCAUUGAAUUGCAUUAAAGGAGAACUCGUCAAAUCUUUUUGGGUAUCAAGGCAGUUAUGUAGAAAGGGGAGAUUCUAUUUAAAUACAGUAAAAUCUGCCUCUUACAUUACUUUUCAUCCCAUUUCCUUCAUUUGUGUAUACAGUAUCUGAUAUGCAUUUGAAUUGUCUUUAAGAGUAACACAAACACAGACUUUAUGAUCUUACUGUACGGCCAUCAGUAGAGAAAAACGGCUGCUCUUAUAAAUUUGAAAUGUUAUUUGUCAGCACGAUUUCAUCAGCAUACAGAUAUGGGACAGAAUAGCACUGGGGCAUAACUGUGUAUCUUGAAAUGCCUGUUUUAAAAUUUGGAAGAUUAGUCUCUCAGGUGUACUGGCAACCUUUGGUCCACUCACUGUGAGAUACAGGCUUUUUAUUGUUGUUACUCACAGUGCUUCGUGUUUCUGGCUCAUGUCAGCUCAUCUGAGUCAGUUUUGUUCCUUCCGUGUCCUUCCUUCCUUCCUUCCUUCCUUCCUUCCUUCCUUCCUUCCUUCCUUCCUUCCUUCCCCCCCUGGGAGAGAUGGUUGUUAAAUAUUUUUCCAGCUUACUACUGCUUAUAAAUGUAUCGUUAUUGAAUAACAAUCAGGAAAGCUUCUCAAAUUAGGUUCUUGCCAGGUCAAGAGUGCUCCUAACGCUUUCAUUAUUACGUGCUUUACCAUUGCUUCUGACUCCUGGGAAGUCUUGUUUUUGCCACAGGAACCCAGUUGUCCCCACACCACAAGUACUCUUCCUGUCAGCCAUGACACUGUCAUCAAUGACAAUUACUUUGAAGUUGGAAAUUGAAAAAGAGGAUAGAAAAUAAUAAUAAUAUCACUCGCAGAAAGAAAUAAGUCAUUGAAUGUUCUCCUGUUCCCUGUUUCCAUAGAUUUUACACAGAUUGAAGUGAUAUGGACCUGGGUUGAUAUCUCUUAGUGUGAGAACUUGGGCAAAUUAUCUCUCGGGGUCCCAGUGGCUCAUCUGUGAAAUGGAUGGUGUGAGAAUUAAAUGGGAUUUUAUAGGUGAAGCCCACAGUCAUAGCGCUUGGCAUCCUGUGACACACACAAUGCUUUUGUGCCCUCUCCUAGUACCCAGCAGGCGGAGUUCCUACGAGUUCUUGACUUCUAAGAGUUCUUGACUGAGAGAUGACACAAGUAAAAUUUAAGUCCUUGGAUAUCACUUUACGUAACAGCAUUUUUGAUUCAAAGCACUUCAUUGCAUUUGGAUAUUAUCGAAGAUCCUAGCAGUUACAAAAUAUCCAUUUUGCUGGUUCCAUGGGUCCUUUGUAGAACAGAGGUGAGAGAUACUGUGUUUCCUCUCGCUGCUCAAGGGCUUUUCUGUUGAGAAUUUGAAAAUUUAAAGUUUUUAAUAGAAAAAAAUCUCAUUUCAGUGAGACACUUCGGUUCUUUAAAUGAUCCAUCAGGCCUCUUUAGCAAAGGAUCAUUGUAACAUUGCUUCAUAACAAUGGCUUAGGUAACUAAGCCAAGCUGGUAAACAGUUGCUGGUAUAUUUUAAAUUAGGUUCUAGGAGUUAAAAAUGGGAGGACCGGUGGAAGAUAUUUCACUAUCUGGACUUUUUUUUUUUUUUUUUUUGUAUUUAAGUAGAGAAAGAAAGAGUCAAUAUCUAUUAUUCACUCAUAUAAUUAUCUAUUUAUUAGAGAGAUAAUUAAAGAGUGACUAUUUAUCCUGAAAACUGCUGGGACCUUAAAUAUGUCAUUCUCAUUAAUGAAACAAGAUAGCAUUUUGAAAAUACACCUUCGGUGAAGUUAAUUAAAACAUCAUUUAAAGAGUUAAUUCAUUAUUUAGAAGAACCGUUGAAACCUUUGAUACAAUACAUUCCCAUACAGAGGACUCUGACUUAAGUAGGUCUGGAAACGAAAUUAGAUUGCAGUUUUUAUUGCUUAUUAGGAUUCUGAAACCCUCCUCUUAAGAAGUUUAAAGUUAAAUGUAUUUUUUUUCACAUUUAAGGUAUAUACAAUUAAAAUGAAAAACAUAGCGAAUGGUUUACAAUUUUUAUAACAUUAUUGUACAGCUGUAAUGUGCAAUGGUAGGUCACUCUCCAGUACAGCUCAUCUGAAUUGGGAUGAACUAUGAAUAUGAGAUAAAAAUACACUGGAUUUCAAAGACUUUGUAUAAAAAAAUGUAAAAUACCCCAGUACUUUUUAUAUUGAUUACAUGCUGAAAUGAAUAUAAUCCGGAUAUAUUGAGCGAAAUCACAUAUAUCAUUAAAAGUAACUUAUGUUUCUUUUUUGAUGUGGCAACCAAAAUACUUAAAAUUGCAUAUGGAGCUCACAUUAUAGGUCUCCUAGACGGAGCUGCUCCAGCGAAUAAUUUCUGAUAUAGUUAAAACAUCAUAGAUAGACAUUGCCCAAAGGAUGCCACUUUAGGGGCAAAUCAAAAGUAUGCCAAGCGUAUUGGGGUUCGGAAGGAAAAUUUCCCACACACGAUUUGAGGGGAAAAAAAGGAUGGAGAAAAUCAUCUACAGAUAUAGUGUAUAAAUAAGAUAGAAAAUUGGGGCUCCUGGGUGGCUCAGUUGGUUAAACAUCCGACUUUGGCUCAGGUCACGAUCUCGCGAUUCGUGAGUUUGAGUCCCACGUCUGGCUCUGUGCUGACGGCUCAGAGCCUGGAGCCUGCUUUGGAUUCUGUGUCUCCCUCUCUCUCUGUCCUUCCCCCAUCCGUGCUCUGUCUCUCUCUC